rnacentral:rRNA from 1 species
AGCCCGCUCAGAAACUCAAAGGAAUUGACGGGGGCCCGCACAAGCGGUGGAGCAUGUGGGUUUAAUUCGAUGAUACGCGAGGAACCUUACCAGGGCUUAAAUGUAGAUUGACAGGUCUAGAGAUAGAUUUUCCUUCGGGCAAUUUACAAGGUGCUGCAUGGUUGUCGUCAGCUCGUGCCGUGAGGUGUCAGGUUAAGUCCUAUAACGAGCGCAACCCCUGUUGUUAGUUGCCAGCGAGUGAAGUCGGGAACUCUAACAAGACUGCCGGUGCAAACCGUGAGGAAGGUGGGGAUGACGUCAAAUCAUCACGGCCCUUACGUCCUGGGCUACACACGUGCUACAAUGGCAGGUACAGAGGGUUGCCAACCCGCGAGGGGGAGCCAAUCCCAGAAAGCCGUCCUCAGUUCAGAUUGGAGUCUGCAACUCGACUCCAUGAAGGUGGAAUCGCUAGUAAUCGCGGAUCAGCAUGCCGCGGUGAAUACGUUCCCGGGCCUU